rnacentral:rRNA from 1 species
UACAGAGGUGGCAAGCGUUGUUCGGAAUUACUGGGCGUAAAGGGCGCGUAGGCGGUCCGAUAAGUCCCGUGUGAAAUCCCUCGGCUCAACUGAGGAACUGCACGGGAAACUGACGGGCUUGAGUUCGGGAGAGGGAAGCGGAAUUCCGGGUGUAGCGGUGAAAUGCGUAGAUAUCCGGAGGAACACCGGUGGCGAAGGCGGCUUCCUGGACCGACACUGACGCUGAGGCGCGAAAGCUAGGGGAGCAAACGGG